rnacentral:rRNA from 1 species
UACGGAGGGUGCGAGCGUUGUCCGGAAUCAUUGGGCGUAAAGGGCGCGUAGGCGGCUAUUCAAGUGGCGGGUGAAAUCCCUCGGCUUAACCGAGGAACUGCCUGCCAGACUGGAUGGCUUGAGACCGGGAGAGGUGAGUGGAAUUCCCAGUGUAGCGGUGAAAUGCGUAGAUAUUGGGAGGAACACCAGUGGCGAAGGCGGCUCACUGGACCGGUACUGACGCUGAGGCGCGAAAGCGUGGGGAGCAAACAGG